UUGUAAAAUUGUGAUCUGCCUGUUUUUAGUCUUUCCUCCAAUUGGUUGUUGACUCUCUUUCUUUUGUCUGUUUUAAAGUCUUUCUACAAACAUGUCUGAAGUCCAGCAGCUGAAGGACAUGUUGAAACUACAGCUAAUACGUGCUGAUGAAGGAAUGAUCACAGACCAGCAAG